CGCAGCCGCGGUAAUUCCAGCUCCAAUAGCGUAUAUUAAAGUUGCUGCAGUUAAAAAGCUCGUAGUUGAAUUUCGGGACUAAUAUGUUGGUCGUGCCUCGGUACGUACUGAUAUUUUUGGUUUCUCCCUUCUGACGAACCUUGAUGUCAUUAAUUUGGUGUCUUGGGAAAUCAGGACUGUUACUUUGAAAAAAUUAGAGUGUUUAAAGCAGGCUCACGCUUGAAUACAUUAGCAUGGAAUAAUGAAAUAGGACGUUUGAUUCUAUUUUGUUGGUUUCUAGGAUCGACGUAAUGAUUAAUAGGGAUAGUUGGGGGCAUUAGUAUUCAAUUGUCAGAGGUGAAAUUCUUGGAUUUAUUGAAGACUAACUACUGCGAAAGCAUUUGCCAAGGAUGUUUUCAUUAAUCAAGAACGAAAGUUAGGGGAUCGAAGACGAUCAGAUACCGUCGUAGUCUUAACCAUAAACUAUGCCGACUAGGGAUCGGAUGAUGUUAAUUUUUUAAUGACUCAUUCGGCGCCUUAC
rnacentral:rRNA from 1 species